rnacentral:rRNA from 1 species
UACGGAGGAUGCAAGCGUUAUCCGGAUUUAUUGGGUUUAAAGGGUGCGCAGGUUGUUUGAUAAGUCAGUGGUGAAAGUCUGUCGCUUAACGGUAGGAUUGCCAUUGAUACUGUUAGACUUGAAUAUGGAUGAGGUAGGCGGAAUUUGUAGUGUAGCGGUGAAAUGCAUAGAUAUUACACAGAACACCGAUUGCGAAGGCAGCUUACUAAUCCAUCAUUGACGCUGAGGCACGAAAGCGUGGGGAUCAAACAGGA